GACGUAGGGCGCGAGCGUUGUCCGGAUUUAUUGGGCGUAAAGAGCUCGUAGGCGGCUUGUCGCGUCGACUGUGAAAACCCCGCGGCUUAACUGCGGGACUGCAGUCGAUACGGGCAGGCUAGAGUUCGGUAGGGGAGACUGGAAUUCCUGGUGUAGCGGUGAAAUGCGCAGAUAUCAGGAGGAACACCGGUGGCGAAGGCGGGUCUCUGGGCCGACACUGACGCUGAGGAGCGAAAGCGUGGGGAGCGAACAGG
rnacentral:rRNA from 1 species